UCUACGAAGGAAAGAGAAAGAAGAAAAUGAAUAGCCCUGGAGCAAACACUAAGCCAGGAGCUAUGGUGGGGGUAGUAAUCUGGAUACUCCCGGCUGCAGUCUUACCAGGACUGAUAAGAAGUGAAGAGACAGCAAGGGAUGGGGCAAGAGGGGGGACAAGAACCCCGGACAAGGAAUCCCGGUGCUGGGGCACGCAUGCCCAAAAGAGACAGUAAAGAGAUUUCCAUAGAAACAUCUUGACCCUGGAUGCCCAUAGAAAAUGGUGGGACAGCAUGGGACCACAGUCAUCCCACGGCAUUCCGGGGGGAUUAGUUCCAGAACUCCCCAAGGAUACUAAAAUCUGCAGAUGCCCCAGUCCCUGAUAGAAAAUGGUGUCGUAUUUGUAUAUAACCUUUACAUAUCCUCCAGUAUACAUGCAUCAUCUCCAGGUUACUUAUAAUACCAAACCCAGUGUUAAUACUA